UACGUAGGGUGCGAGCGUUAAUCGGAAUUACUGGGCGUAAAGCGCACGUAGGCGGUUUUUUAAGACAGGCGUGAAAUCCCCGGGCUUAACCUGGGAAUGGCGCUUGUGACUGCAAAGCUGGAGUGCGGCAGAGGGGGAUGGAAUUCCGCGUGUAGCAGUGAAAUGCGUAGAUAUGCGGAGGAACACCGAUGGCGAAGGCAAUCCCCUGGGCCUGUACUGACGCUCAUGCACGAAAGCGUGGGGAGCAAACAGG
rnacentral:rRNA from 1 species